AGUCAUAAUACUGGUACUUUGUCUUGAGAAGCAAAAUUUUACUCGGAGGUUGCUUUCCAUCUGCCUUGGGAGUGUGUUUUGCUGGAGACUGAAACCCUGUGAAGCAGUCCCCGUGGUAGAGGGAAGAUGUGUUGGAGUAUGCCCCAGGGAAAGGAGAGCAAUGGUAAACACGUCCCAGUGGCUCUAGAAAGAAGGCAGGCACCCUUGGAUCCAAGCAGAACAGGUGUUGAACCUUGGCACGAUACGCCAACAGAGGCAGCUCAUGAGACCUGGCGAAUGCUGCACUGCUACCUAACGUAGUGAAAACAAGAGCAAUUGGACAUCUAAUCUGCUUAGGUGCUUUUGAAAAUCCCACUACGUGCCAAAGAUACGCUUGGAAAUCUGGGCCCAAAUCCAUUAGCUGGGAGUCAGGCCAGAGCCCUCUUGCGAGAGCUAUUCAGUACCACACUUCAUGUCGAAUACACAAGAGGUGUUGGACCAAAGACACAUUACUGUCAUUAUUACAAAUAACACCAGGCCCACAAGAUGCCCUUCUCCCCUUUGGUGAGACCUGGCCCAUCUUGAUUUUCUUUCUGUUCAGAAAGACCUUCU